rnacentral:lncRNA from 1 species
CAGGGUGUUUGAGGCCUGGGUCAAAGUGGAGGAAUCAAAAGUUAUGGCAAAAAAAGGGUGGUGACUGCAACAGCUUUAAGCUGAUUCACUUGCGUUUGUCGGGAGCACUUGAUCUGCGAUUGCAAGUCGCCUCAAGCAUGCACUCGUACAGAUUGCAGUUUGAUCACGUUCUGUCAAAGAAGCUGAAGCAGAGCCAGUGAUGCAUGGU